GGGUCAGGAGGUUGGUCGUGCCACCGGUACGUACUGGUCUCACUGAUUCCUCCUUCCUGAAGAACCGUAAUGCCAUUAAUUGGGUGUUGCGGGGAAACAGGACUGUUACUUUGAAAAAAUUAGAGUGUUUAAAGCAAGCUAACGCUUGAAUACAUUAGCAUGGAAUAAUGAAAUAGGACGAUCGAUCCUAUUUUGUUGGUUUCUAGGAUUGACGUA
rnacentral:rRNA from 1 species